AUAUUAUUAAGCGGAGGAAAAGAAACUAACAAGGAUUCCCCUAGUAACGGCGAGCGAAAAGGGAUAAGCUCAAAUUUAAAAUCUCCGGCCCCUCGGGUCGGCGAAUUGUAGUUUAGAGAGGCGUUUUCUGGUGUUGGGCCGGGCCUAAGUCCCUUGGAACAGGGUAUCAUAGAGGGUGAGAAUCCCGUCUGUGGCUCGGAUUCCGACCCUUUACGUGGCGUCCUCGAAGAGUCGGGUUGUUUGGGAAUGCAGCCCCAAAUGGGUGGUAAACUUCACCUAAAGCUAAAUAUUGGCGAGAGACCGAUAGCGCACAAGUA
rnacentral:rRNA from 1 species